rnacentral:rRNA from 1 species
GGGGGCGACUCCGUCGGUGAGAGCAAGCAUUAAGGUGUGUAAACCCCUGUCAGGAGUUAGGAAUAGCGUUGUUGUUAAUGAUAGCAACGUGUGACGAAGCCUUCAGAGGAAGCCACGGCUAACUCCGUGCCAGCAGCCGCGGUAAUACGGGGGCGGCAAGCGUUGUUCGGAAUCACUGGGUGUAAAGGGCGUGUAGGCGGGUUGGUAAGUCAGAUGUGAAAUCCCACAGCUCAACUGUGGAGGGUCAUCUGAUACUGCUGAUCUUGAGUUCCAGAGAGGGGAGUGGAACUUCUGGAGUAGCGGUGAAAUGCGUAGAUAUCGGGAGGAACACCAGAGGCGAAAGCGAUCACCUGGCUGGAAACUGACGCUGAGUGCGCGAAAGCUAGGGCAGCAAACGGGAUUAGAUACCCUGGUAGUCCUAGCCGUAAACGAUGGGCACUAAGUAGAGGGGUUUU